GGCGGUAUGGCCUAGUCGGUAAAGCGUUCGUCUCCAACAAGAAGAACCUGGGUUUGAAUCCCGCUCUCUCCA
rnacentral:tRNA from 1 species